rnacentral:rRNA from 1 species
GACGAACGCUGGCGGCGUGCUUAACACAUGCAAGUCGAACGGAAAGGCCCUGCUUUUGUGGGGUGCUCGAGUGGCGAACGGGUGAGUAACACGUGAGUAACCUGCCCUUGACUUUGGGAUAACUUCAGGAAACUGGGGCUAAUACCGGAUAGGAGCUCCUGCUGCAUGGUGGGGGUUGGAAAGUUUCGGCGGUUGGGGAUGGACUCGCGGCUUAUCAGCUUGUUGGUGGGGUAGUGGCUUACCAAGGCUUUGACGGGUAGCCGGCCUGAGAGGGUGACCGGCCACAUUGGGCCUGAGAUAUGGCCCAGACUCCUACGGGAGGCAGCAGUGGGGAAUAUUGCACAAUGGGCGGAAGCCUGAUGCAGCAACGCCGCGUGCGGGAUGACGGCCUUCGGGUUGUAAACCGCUUUCGCCUGUGACGAAGCGUGAGUGACGGUAAUGGGUAAAGAAGCACCGGCUAACUACGUG